rnacentral:snoRNA from 1 species
AAGAGUGUACUUUCAGGGAUUAUUUCUAUAGUUUGUUCCUAGAGAAGUUUCUCUGAAAUCCCAGAAACCACCAGGCGGAGGUGCGGCAUCCUCUCCUGAGGUGAAGCCGGCUCUUGGUGUUGCUUCACUGCAACUACCUUUUGCUAUGAUCAUUCUUCUCUUCCUCUGGGAGAGGGAGAGGGAGUCAGAACCAGAUUGAGUGCC